rnacentral:rRNA from 1 species
UAGUAACGGCGAGUGAGAGGGAAGAGCCCAAGAUUGAAAGCUGGCGUCUUCGGCGUCCGCAUUGUAAUCUCAAGAAGUGUUUUCCGCUUCGGACCAAGCCUAAGUCCCCUGGAAAGGGGCAUCAUAGAGGGUGAUAAUCCCGUACAUGGCUUGGAGCGCCCGAGGCUUUGUGAUACGCUUUCUAAGAGUCGAGUUGUUUGGGAAUGCAGCUCAAAAUGGGUGGUAAAUGCCAUCUAAGGCUAAAUAUUGGGGAGAGACCGAUAGCGAACAAGUACAGUGAUGGAAAGAUGAAAAGAACUUUGAAAAGAGAGUUAAACAGUACGUGAAAUUGCCAAAAGGGAAGGGUAGGAGGUCAGAGAUGCGGCCUGGGAUUCAGCCUUGCUUUUGCUUGGUGUUUUUCCCAGAUUGCAGGCCAACGUCGGUUUUGGGCACUGGAGAAGGGUAGGAGGAACGUGGCACCCCUCGGGGUGUGUUAUAGCCUCCUACUGGAUACAGCGACCGAGACCGAGGACAGCAGCGUACUCGCAAGAGCGGGCCUUCGGGCACCUUUACGCUUAGGGCGUUGGCAUAAUGGCCCUCUACCACCCGUCUUGA